rnacentral:rRNA from 1 species
GUAGGUGGCAAGCGUUGUCCGGAAUUAUUGGGCGUAAAGCGCGCGCAGGCGGUUCUUUAAGUCUGAUGUGAAAGCCCACGGGCUCAACCGUGGAGGGUCAUUGGAAACUGGAGAACUUGAGUACAGAAGAGGAAAGCGGAAUUCCACGUGUAGCGGUGAAAUGCGUAGAGAUGUGGAGGAACACCAGUGGCGAAGGCGGCUUUCUGGUCUGUAACUGACGCUGAGGCGCGAAAGCGUGGGGAGCAAACAGGAUUAGAUACCCUGGUAGUCCACGCCGUAAACGAUGAGUGCUAAGUGUUACGGGGGUUUCCGCCCCUUAGUGCUGCAGCUAACGCAUUAAGCACUCCGCCGUGGGGAGUACGGCCGCAAGGCU